GAUGAACGCUGGCGGCGUGCCUAAUACAUGCAAGUCGAACGCACAGCGAAAGGUGCUUGCACCUUUCAAGUGAGUGGCGAACGGGUGAGUAACACGUGGACAACCUGUCUCAAGGCUGGGGAUAACAUUUGGAAACAGAUGCUAAUACCGAAUAAAACUCAGUGUCGCAUGACACAAAGUUAAAAGGCGCUUUGGCGUCACCUAGCGAUGGAUCCGCGGUGCAUGAGUUAGUUGGUGGGGUAAAGGCCUACCAAGACAAUGAUGCAUAGCCGAGUUGAGAGACUGAUCGGCCACAUUGGGACUGAGACACGGCCCACACUCCUACGGGAGGCUGCAGUAGGGAAUCUUCCACAAUGGGCGAAAGCCUGAUGGAGCAACGCCGCGUGUGUGAUGAAGGCUUUCGGGUCGUAAAGCACUGUUGUAUGGGAAGAACAGCUAGAAUAGGGAAUGAUUUUAGUUUGACGGUACCAUACCAGAAAGGGACGGCUAAAUACGUGCCAGCAGCCGCGGUAA
rnacentral:rRNA from 1 species